UCUUACUCAUGUUGUCUUAGAAGCUUUGCACUUCAAAAAUGGGGGACUUAGAGGCGGAAAUGCUCUUGAUAAAGAGGUUUAAACGUGAUUUUCAUCCUGCUCUUCCACACUUCUUGUACUUACAAAUAAGAGGCACGGUUAUUCCUUAUGACUUGAAAGUGCAAACUGCAGAACUUGUGUAUGAUUUUGGAGAAUCUUUGUGAAAAAUACAACACUACAAAGUUUUUUCUUAUGAAUGGCCUCAAUGGUCGCGUCUCCAGUAGACCAUCAACAGGUUUUGAGCCCAAUACUAGCGAUAGGUGAUCCUCACUUUGGAUUGGAGAUUAUCGAAGUUUCAGGAGGUAGUUGUUUAGUUGUUCCAUCGUAUCUGGACAAUUUGUAUAAAUUUUGAAUUCUUGCUCAUGUUGUCUUAGAAGCUUUGCACUUAUGUGUGUAUUUUGGGGUUGUAAACUGUACUCUUCCUAAGUUCUGUAUUGAUAUAUGAAACUAUGACUUUAAGACUUCA